ACAUCCUAGCGACUGCCUCUGAAGGGACUUCCACAGUUGCUGCAGGGAGGAGGGCAUAUCCUGGAGCAUGAGACUGGCUAUGGGGCUCUGUCUUAGCCUGGUUUCUUUCUGUACAAUGAUAUACCACAUAGAAAACUAGUAGGCUCACUGGUGCACACCCCUACUUCCAGCCAUUCAGGAGGCUGAGGCUGAGGCUGAGGAAGUGCUUGGGUCCAGGAGGUCUGGACUAUAGGAUGCUAUGCUGUGAGACAUCUCAUCUUGCCUAGGGAAGGAGCAAACCAGCAGUUUGGCUUCCUACCUCUGUCUUCGCGGCUUCCAGCUCUUUAGGAUGUGUGAAGACUCAGACACCAUCAGCACUGAAGUAGACAUCGGUAGAUCCCCGUGCCUAGCUCAGCUUCAGGACAAGGCGAGAGAUGCGAUGUUUCCCUUGCCAUUGGAAAAGACAAUUCCAAAUUAGUCUCCUUGUCAAGCCCUUUACUCACUGACCUCUCCUCACAACAACAACAACAACAACAACAAAGGCAUUCAAUCAGAGAGCUGGGCUUCCAACCAAGCCUGUGAAGAAUCUUCCCCUUGCUUCCCCCUUUGCGUCUCUCAGAAACCUUUGGGCCACCACAGGAAGGACAUAAAAUGACUUCAUCUCACCAUUUCCAAAUGCCUCUCCUGAGUUAUGGCUUUGUCAGUACAAUCAUUUGUCCCCAAA
rnacentral:lncRNA from 1 species